UACGUAGGGGGCAAGCGUUGGCCGGAGUUAUUGGGCGUAAAAGGCUUGUAGGUGGCCACGCCAAGACGGAUGUGAAAUCUCCCGGCUCAACUGGGAGGGGUCAUUCGAUACUGGCGGGCUCGAGGCCGGUAGGGGGAAGUGGAAUUCCCGGUGUAGUGGUGGAAUGCGUAGAUAUCGGGAGGAACACCAGUGGCGAAGGCGGCUUCCUGGACCGGUUCUGACACUGAGGAGCGAAAGCGUGGGGAGCGAUCCGG
rnacentral:rRNA from 1 species